AAGUCAGUUCUCUGCCUCAACAAGAAUGGAGUGCUCAAACAGAGAAUUUAGCAGAGUUUUUAGAUAAAAAGAUGAGAGCUUAGAGAAUAACGUAUCUGGGUCCCCCUUUUUAUAGACGGAGGGGGCAGUAGCUUGACAGUGACAUCCGUAACCGUCUGGCAGUGGGCCGUCCAGAGUCAGGAAGGAUUUAUUGUGGAGGGUAG
rnacentral:lncRNA from 1 species